CAUCAAGAAGCUAUGUCAGCGUUAACCUUUUAAGUUAAAGAUCGAKAGCAUAUUAACUCUCCUUGAUGA
rnacentral:tRNA from 1 species